rnacentral:rRNA from 1 species
AGAUUGAACGCUAGCGGGAUGCUUUACACAUGCAAGUCGAACGGCAGCGCGGACUUCGGUCUGGCGGCGAGUGGCGAACGGGUGAGUAAUAUAUCGGAACGUGCCCAGUAGCGGGGGAUAACUACGCGAAAGCGUGGCUAAUACCGCAUACGCCCUACGGGGGAAAGGGGGGGAUCGCAAGACCUCUCACUAUUGGAGCGGCCGAUAUCAGAUUAGCUAGUUGGUGAGGUAAAGGCUCACCAAGGCGACGAUCUGUAGCUGGUUUGAGAGGACGACCAGCCACACUGGGACUGAGACACGGCCCAGACUCCUACGGGAGGCAGCAGUGGGGAAUUUUGGACAAUGGGGGAAACCUGAUCCAGCCAUCCCGCGUGUGCGAUGAAGGCCGUUCGGGUUGUAAG